GACGUAGGGCGCGAGCGUUGUCCGGAUUUAUUGGGCGUAAAGAGCUCGUAGGCGGCUUGUUGCGUCAGCUGUGAAAACCCGCAGCUCAACUGUGGGCUUGCAGCUGAUACGGGCAGGCUUGAGUUCGGUAGGGGAGACUGGAAUUCCUGGUGUAGCGGUGAAAUGCGUAGAUAUCUGGAGGAACACCGGUGGCGAAGGCGGCAUCCUGGACCGGCAUUGACGCUGAGGCGCGAAAGCGUGGGGGAGCAAACAGG
rnacentral:rRNA from 1 species